rnacentral:lncRNA from 1 species
UAUAGUUGUGAAGAGUGUUCGAUUUUCGUUAGGAUUCGAAAUAAAGUGUGUGACGUACUACUAAUUUUGGGACGUAGAUAUUUUAAGGAGUAUUAGACUCAGACUAGGAUUCAAUUUGACAGCCAGCUUGAUUUUGUGUUGUAAAAUCUCAUAGGGUUCAAUUUGCCGAUCCGAAAAAGAUAAAUCACAUUGUUAGGAAG